GAUUAACGCUGGCGGCGUGCAUAACACAUGCAAGUCGAACGAUGAAACUUAAAUGAUUUCUUAGGAAUGAACUUAAGUGGAUUAGUGGCGGACGGGUGAGUAACGCGUGAGUAACCUGCCUUACACAAGGGGAUAGCCGUUGGAAACGACGAAUAAUACCCUAUGAAACUAUCACUUCGCAUGAAGCGAUAGUCAAAGUGUUAGCGGUGUAAGAUGGACUUGCGUCUGAUUAGCUAGUUGGUGAGACAAAAGCCCACCAAGGCAACGAUCAGUAGCCGGCUUGGGAGAGUGUACGGCCACAUUGGGACUGGGACACGGCCCAGACUCCGACGGGAGGCAGCAGGGGGGAAUUUUGCACAAUGGGGGAAACCCUGAUGCAGCGACGCCGCGUGAUUUAGAAGGCCUUCGGGUUGUAAAAAUCUUUUGUAUAGGAAGAAAAUGACAGUACUAUAAGAAUAAGGUCCGGCUAAUUACGUG
rnacentral:rRNA from 1 species